GCUGGCCUCGGUGCUGGGGAGCGGCUCCCGGCGGGCCUCUGCUCUGGCCCCUCCUGGGGCCCGCACUCUUGCUCUGGGCACGC
ensembl:miRNA